rnacentral:rRNA from 1 species
GUAGCUGGCUGUAUCCGUCCCCCGUUAAAUCCAGCGUCCUAAGCGUUGGACCGCGGGUGAUGCCAUACAGCUAGAGGGUGGGAUAGGUGAGCGGUAUUUCUGGGGUAGGGGCGAAAUCCUUUCAUCCCAGGAGGACCACCAGUGGCGAAGGCUGCUCACUAGAACACGCCUGACGGUCAGGGACGAAAGCUGGGGCAGCGAACCGGAUUAGAUACCCGGGUAGUCCCAGCUGUAAACGAUGCUAGCUAGGUGUUGGGUCGGCCACCUCGCCGCCCCAGUGCCGCA